rnacentral:rRNA from 1 species
CCUACGGGUGGCAGCAGUAGGGAAUAUUGCUCAAUGGGGGAAACCCUGAAGCAGCAACGCCGCGUGGGGGAUGACGGUUUUAGGAUUGUAAACUCCCUUUGUUAGAGGAGAAAAUGACGGUAUCUAACGAAUAAGCACCGGCUAACUCCGUGCCAGCUGCCGCGGCAACACGGAGGGUGCAAGCGUUAUUCGGAACCACCGGGCGUAAAGGGUGCGUAGGCGGGGUAAUAAGUCAGAUGUGAAAUCCUGUAGCUUAACUCCAGAACUGCAUUUGAAACUGUUACUCUGGAGUGUGGGAGAGGUAGGUGGAAUUCGUGGUGUAGCGGUGAAAUCCGUAGAGAUCAAGAAGAAUACUCAUUGCGAAGGCGACCUACUGGCCCGUAACUGACGUUGAGGCUCGAAAGCGUGGGGAGCAAACAGGAUUAGAUACCCGAGUAGUC